GGUUAAGCGACUAAGCGUACACGGUGGAUGCCCUGGCAGUCAGAGGCGAUGAAGGGCGUGCUAAUCUGCGAUAAGCGCCGGUAAGGUGAUAUGAACCGUUAUAACCGGCGAUACCCGAAUGGGGAAACCCAGUGUGACUCGUCACACUAUCAUUAACUGAAUCCAUAGGUUAAUGAGGCGAACCGGGGGAACUGAAACAUCUAAGUACCCCGAGGAAAAGAAAUCAACCGAGAUUCCCCCAGUAGCGGCGAGCGAACGGGGAGGAGCCCAGAGCCUGAAUCAGCAUGUGUGUUAGUGGAAGCGUCUGGAAAGGCGCGCGAUACAGGGUGACAGCCCCGUACACAAAAGCGCAUGUGCUGUGAGCUCGAUGAGUAGGGCGGGACACGUGGUAUCCUGUCUGAAUAUGGGGGGACCAUCCUCCAAGGCUAAAUACUCCUGACUGACCGAUAGUGAACCAGUACCGUGAGGGAAAGGCGAAAAGAACCCCGGCGAGGGGAGUGAAAAAGAACCUGAAACCGUGUACGUACAAGCAGUGGGAGCCCCACCACCAAAGCAUUCUCUGGUGUUGAAGGCCCUGCAAAGCAGCAUCGCGGUGGCGGAGCGUCGUUUGCGACGCCCAACACACAAAACAAGCGGUGAAUGCUUUGGGGUGGGGUGACUGCGUACCUUUUGUAUAAUGGGUCAGCGACUUAUAUUCUGUAGCAAGGUUAACCGAAUAGGGGAGCCGGAGGGAAACCGAGUCUUAAUUGGGCGUUAAGUUGCAGGGUAUAGACCCGAAACCCGGUGAUCUAGCCAUGGGCAGGUUGAAGGUUGGGUAACACUAACUGGAGGACCGAACCGACUAAUGUUGAAAAAUUAGCGGAUGACCUGUGGCUGGGGGUGAAAGGCCAAUCAAACCGGGAGAUAGCUGGUUCUCCCCGAAAGCUAUUUAGGUAGCGCCUCGUGAAUUCAUCUCCGGGGGUAGAGCACUGUUUCGGCUAGGGGGCCAUCCCGGCUUACCAACCCGAUGCAAACUGCGAAUACCGGAGAAUGUUAUCACGGGAGACACACGGCGGGUGCUAACGUCCGUCGUGAAGAGGGAAACAACCCAGACCGCCAGCUAAGGUCCCAAAGUCAUGGUUAAGUGGGAAACGAUGUGGGAAGGCCCAGACAGCCAGGAUGUUGGCUUAGAAGCAGCCAUCAUUUAAAGAAAGCGUAAUAGCUCACUGGUCGAGUCGGCCUGCGCGGAAGAUGUAACGGGGCUAAACCAUGCACCGAAGCUGCGGCAGCGAACGUAUCACCCAAGACAACUUUACGGAGUUGACGAUUGACGGAGCGAAGCGACGUCAAAGCGUUCAUUAAAGUCGAGUUGGCUUAGGGAUACGUUCGUUGGGUAGGGGAGCGUUCUGUAAGCCUGUGAAGGUGUGUCGUGAGGCAUGCUGGAGGUAUCAGAAGUGCGAAUGCUGACAUAAGUAACGAUAAAGCGGGUGAAAAGCCCGCUCGCCGGAAGACCAAGGGUUCCUGUCCAACGUUAAUCGGGGCAGGGUGAGUCGACCCCUAAGGCGAGGCCGAAAGGCGUAGUCGAUGGGAAACGGGUUAAUAUUCCCGUACUUGGUGUUACUGCGAAGGGGGGACGGAGAAGGCUAUGUUGGCCGGGCGACGGUUGUCCCGGUUUAAGCGUGUAGGUGUGUGUUCCAGGUAAAUCCGGUUCACUUUAACACUGAGGCGUGACGACGAGGCACUACGGUGCUGAAGCAACAAAUGCCCUGCUUCCAGGAAAAGCCUCUAAGCAUCAGGUAACACGAAAUCGUACCCCAAACCGACACAGGUGGUCAGGUAGAGAAUACCAAGGCGCUUGAGAGAACUCGGGUGAAGGAACUAGGCAAAAUGGUGCCGUAACUUCGGGAGAAGGCACGCUGACACGUAGGUGAAGUGAUUUACUCA
rnacentral:rRNA from 1 species